rnacentral:lncRNA from 1 species
UUCUAAAGCAGAUUCUGCUACUUAUUUAGGAAAAAUAAAAAUAAGCUUUUAAAAAAUUGGAAGUGGAGCAGGCAGAUGAGCAGAACAAAAGUCAAUUUUAGUCAUGGAACAUUCCAUUUGCCUAAUCAGGAGAUUUGCUUCUGUCUGAGGACUUUCCUACUCAGUGGAAAGAAACCAAUCUUCUCAAGCAUGUUUCUGUCUCAGCUCUACCCUUCAUGUUCUCCUUUGCUUGCAGCCACCACUCUUCAGGGGUUUUCCCUUCACUCUUCAGCUUUUGUUGUUGUUGUUUGUUAUUGUUUUUGCUAGGAGAGGGAGGUUUUCUGGGGAUGGAACCCAGGACCUAGUGUGUGCUAGGCAUGCACUCUGCCACUACACUACACCCCUAGUCCCUUCCCAAGUUUUAAAGUAAAAUUGUCCCUUGGUAUCCUCAGGGGAUUGAUGGGUUCCAGGACUCUACAGACAGAACCUUGCCUUCCUAAAGUAUGCACAUCCUCAUGGUUACUUUGUAUUCUCUCUAGAUUGCUGGUAAGGCCUAACACAGAAUAAAUGCACUGUAAAUUGUUACAUCAUAUGUGGUUUAGAGACUAAUGAUCUGAAAAAGGUCUGCAUGUACUCAGUACAGAGACAGUCUCUACAUUUCCAGUCAAGGGUGGCUGGCUCCAAGGGUACAGAACCUGCAGAUACUGAGGACCAGCUGCGUUUGUUUGUAC